rnacentral:rRNA from 1 species
GACGAACGCUGGCGGCGUGCUUAACACAUGCAAGUCGAACGGUGAAGGGACCGGUUUUUGCUGGUUCUGGAUGAGUGGCGAACGGGUGAGUAACACGUGAGUAACCUGCCCCCUUCUUCUGGAUAACCGCAUGAAAGUGUGGCUAAUACGGGAUAUUCUGCGCCUGCUGCAUGGUGGGUGUGGGAAAGAUAUUGUUUCGGUGGGGGAUGGGCUCGCGGCCUAUCAGCUUGUUGGUGGGGUGAUGGCCUACCAAGGCGGUGACGGGUAGCCGGCCUGAGAGGGUGGACGGUCACACUGGGACUGAGACACGGCCCAGACUCCUACGGGAGGCAGCAGUGGGGAAUAGUGCACAAUGGGCGCAAGCCUGAUGCAGCGACGCCGCGUGAGGGAUGGAGGCCUGCGGGUUGUAAACCUCUUUCGCCAGUGAAGCAGGCCUGUCCCUUGUGUGGGUGGGUUGACGGUAGCUGGAUAAGAAGCGCCGGCUAACUACGUG